rnacentral:tRNA from 1 species
GGGGAUUUAGCUCAGUUGUGCAGCACCUGCCUGGCAAGCAUGAGGUCCUGAGUUCAAUUCCCGGUUACCCCC